AUGGUGUUGUGCUUCAGUUGCUCGGCAAACGGAAGACUGACAUGGAUCUUGGCUUUGCUGCUCAUGAUGACUCGAGUCCAUGGCCAGCCUACUUCGGGGUUCAUAAGCCUCGACUGUGGAUACAGAAACAAUACUCCCUACAACGACAGCAGCAUAGAAGGAAUACAGUACCAGUCCGACGCUGGAUUCGUGGAGGGCGGUUUGACCCACCAAAUAUCAUCAGUGUUCAUGGCUGAUGCCGCAUCUGAGAGCGAAACAACCUUGAGGAGCUUCCCCGACGGCUCAAGGAAUUGCUACACGCUGCCAUCCACCCCUGGUAAAAAGUUUCUGGUGAGGGCCAUGUUUACUUACGGCGACUACGAUGGGUUGAACAGGAGUAUGGACGGGUCGCUGUUCCUUUUUGGGCUCCAUAUCGGCGUCAAUUUCUGGGAUACGGUGAACUUAACAAAUUGGGAUCCAUCAAUUAUAGUCUGGAAGGAGGUGCUCACCGUUGCCCCGGGCGACUCCGUCUCAGUCUGUCUGGUAAACUUUGGUUCGGGGACUCCGUUCGUGUCUUCCUUGGAGCUGAGGCCACUGCUAGAUGCGAUGUACCCUUUUGUGAAUACAUCGGUAUCAGUCGGCCAAUUUGGACGAUUCAGAUUUGGUAAUGUCACUGACUUUAUCACAAGAUAUCCAGUGGACCCUUACGACCGGUUCUGGGCGGCCUCGUCUUUCCCCUACAACACCUACCCCUGGACCAACGUGGACACUAGCAAGCAAGUGGAGAUUCUCCCGGGCGACGACUACUUCAACGUGCCGAUGGCCAUCUUCCAGAAGGCCACCACCCUAGACACAAACUACUCCAUCAUGAGUCUCGACAUGGCAAAGGGUCAGAAUCUGGACCCCGAGAGCGUCCGCCUUCUCCCAAUCUUCCACUUUGCUGAAAUUAGUGAUAACAACCCGAACAGAAGCUUUGACAUCUACAACGCCAACGAUUUGCUGCACCGGGGCUUCUCCCCGUCGCGAUUACAGGCCAACAGCUUGUACGACAGCGGGCAGUUCUUGUAUAACGGCGACGCGAUCUACACCCUGAAUAAGACGCGCAGCUCGAUCCUGCCCCCACUCAUCAACGCGUUAGAGGUGUACUCGCUCGUUUGGAUGGAAAACUUCACUACCGAGCCCGAGGAUGUCAGUUACAUGAAAGAAGUCAAGAAAAACUACAAUUUGGCACGAACAAACUGGAAUGGAGAUCCAUGCUCUCCAAGAGAGUAUUCCUGGGAAGGUUUGACUUGCGACUACUCUAAGAGAAACCAGAAUCCGAGGAUUGUCGCAGUAGAUCUGUCUACCAGUGGACUGAAAGGUGGAUUAGUCAUAACUUUCAUGAACAUGGCAUCACUGGAGAACUUGGAUUUAUCACACAACAAUUUGACAGGGCCUAUUCCAGACUACCAAAUAAAGUCACUCAAAGUUCUCGAUUUGUCAUACAACCAGCUCGAUGGACCAAUCCCUAAUUCUAUUCUUCAAAGAUCUCAGGCUGGUCUGCUUGACUUAAGAUUAGAAGGCAAUCCUGUAUGCUCAAAAGUCAAAGAUACGUAUUGUUCAAAUAAUAAGAAGAAAACCACAUCUACCAUGGCGAUCGCAGUGAUAGUUCCUGUAGUGCUGGUAUCCCUCCUAGUAGUGAUGUGCAUUCUAUGGAAAUUGUGCUGGAAAGGAAAGUCGGGAGACAGUGAGAAUUAUGCUAUGUAUGAAGAGGAAACACCCCUACAUAUUGAUAUCAGACGGUUCACGUACGCAGAGCUGAAGCAUAUAACAAACGACUUCCAUUCAAUCGUUGGAAAAGGAGGUUUUGGCACUGUUUAUCAUGGCACAAUGGAAAAUGGUGAUGAAGUAGCUGUUAAGGUGCUCAUGGAGACAUCAAUAGUAGAGUCAACAGACUUCCUUCCUGAGGUGCAAACCUUGUCCAAAGUUCAUCACAAGAAUCUCGUGACUCUACAAGGAUAUUGCCAGAACAAGAAGUGCCUAGCUCUCGUUUAUGACUUCAUGCACAGAGGAAAUCUUCAACAGCUUUUAAGAGAAGGAGAUGACUACAGUUUGAAUUGGGAACAACGGCUUCAUAUUGCACUUGAUUCAGCACAAGGACUGGAAUAUCUACAUGAGUCAUGCACCCCAUCAAUAGUUCACAGAGAUGUCAAGACUGCCAACAUCCUUCUGGACAAGAACCUGGUGGGGAUAAUAGCUGAUUUUGGGCUUUCGCGCGCUUUUAACGAUGCACACACACACAUAUCUACUGUUGCUGCUGGAACUCUUGGCUACCUUGAUCCCGAGUACCACGCAACUUUCCAGCUCACCAUCAAGACAGACGUUUACAGCUUUGGCAUCGUGCUCUUGGAGAUCAUCACUGGCAAGCCCCCGAUAUUGAUGGACCCUCACACCUACCACCUACCAAACUGGGUACGCCAAAAGAUUGCAAAAGGCAGUAUUCAAGAUAUCGUGGACAAGAGGCUGUUGGAUCAGAAUGACCCCAGUUCCCUGCAGGGUGUGGUGGACCUGGCCAUGAAAUGCGUAGAAAGUGCAGCCAUCGACAGGCCGAGCAUGACUGAGGUUGUUUCAAGGCUAAAAGUGUUGUUGCCAACAACUCUGAGCGAAAAACAGUAUGCUUCCGCGUCCUCUACGAAGUCCAUGAAUGACGAAAUGCGAAGGCAAUUCCACUUGUUGAUUUCUGGAGAAGGCAACGACGAGAGCUCCAGCUCGAGCAGGAUGACAGAAUUGAUCCCCUUAUCUGGACGGUGA
rnacentral:rRNA from 1 species